CCUACGGGAGGCUGCAGUGGGGAAUAUUGGGCAAUGGGCGCAAGCCUGACCCAGCAACGCCGCGUGAAGGAAGAAGGCUUUCGGGUUGUAAACUUCUUUUCUCAGGGACGAAGCAAGUGACGGUACCUGAGGAAUAAGCCACGGCUAACUACGUGCCAGCAGCCGCGGUAAUACGUAGGUGGCAAGCGUUAUCCGGAUUUACUGGGUGUAAAGGGCGUGUAGGCGGGAAAGCAAGUCAGAUGUGAAAACCAUGGGCUCAACCUGUGGCCUGCAUUUGAAACUGUUUUUCUUGAGUACUGGAGAGGCAGACGGAAUGCCUAGUGUAGCGGUGAAAUGCGUAGAUAUUAGGAGGAACACCAGUGGCGAAGGCGGUCUGCUGGACUGCAACUGACGCUGAGGCGCGAAAGCGUGGGGAGCAAACAGGAUUAGAUACCCUAGUAGUC
rnacentral:rRNA from 1 species